UGGGGAAUAUUGCACAAUGGGCGGAAGCCUGAUGCAGCAACGCCGCGUGAGGGAUGACGGCCUUCGGGUUGUAAACCUCUUUUAGCAGGGAAGAAGCGAGAGUGACGGUACCUGCAGAAAAAGCGCCGGCUAACUACGUGCCAGCAGCCGCGGUAAUACGUAGGGCGCAAGCGUUAUCCGGAAUUAUUGGGCGUAAAGAGCUCGUAGGCGGUUUGUCGCGUCUGCUGUGAAAUCCCGAGGCUCAACCUCGGGCCUGCAGUGGGUACGGGCAGACUAGAGUGCGGUAGGGGAGAUUGGAAUUCCUGGUGUAGCGGUGGAAUGCGCAGAUAUCAGGAGGAACACCGAUGGCGAAGGCAGAUCUCUGGGCCGUAACUGACGCUGAGGAGCGAAAGGGUGGGGAGCAAACAGGCUUAGAUACCCUGGUAGUCCACCCGUAAACGUUGGGAACUAGUUGUGGGGACCAUUCCACGGUUUCCGUGACGCAGCUAACGCAUUAAGUUCCCCGCCUGGGGAGUACGGCCGCAAGGCUAAAACUGCAAAUGAAUUGACGGGGUCAUAGCUGUUUCCU
rnacentral:rRNA from 1 species